rnacentral:rRNA from 1 species
UGGGGAAUAUUGCACAAUGGGGGAAACCCUGAUGCAGCGACGCCGCGUGGAGGAAGGAGGUCUUCGGAUUGUAAACUCCUGUUGUUGGGGAAGAUAAUGACGGUACCCAACAAGGAAGUGACGGCUAACUACGUGCCAGCAGCCGCGGUAAAACGUAGGUCACAAGCGUUGUCCGGAAUUACUGGGUGUAAAGGGAGCGCAGGCGGGAAGACAAGUUGGAAGUGAAAUCUAUGGGCUCAACCCAUAAACUGCUUUCAAAACUGUUUUUCUUGAGUAGUGCAGAGGUAGGCGGAAUUCCCGGUGUAGCGGUGGAAUGCGUAGAUAUCGGGAGGAACACCAGUGGCGAAGGCGGCCUACUGGGCACCAACUGACGCUGAGGCUCGAAAGUGUGGGUAGCAAACAG